rnacentral:lncRNA from 1 species
UGGGAAGUGACGAAUAUGACUAAGUAUUUUUAAAAAAAAUUCUGAAGUGUUUUUUUUCGAUUUUUUUUAAAAAAAAUUUCGUUGCUAACGUCAACAAACCCAAGCUGUUCUUACCUUUGGGUUGGCCUGGUUUGGUGGGACCCAUGUGCUGCCAGGGCUGUAGAAGCCCACUGGAACUACAAAUUAGGGCUUGAGCCCCCUGUUGCCCCGACUAAGGUGCACCGCUAGAAGCGCCCUUAGAGCAUCUCCAUCGGUGCCCCCUCAACCCGGGCAACUUGGGGCCUAGCCCCAAUUUGUAGUUCCAGUGGGCUUUUACAGCCUUGGUAGCUCAUGGGUCCCAGCAAGCCAACCCAGCCCAAAGACAAGGACAGCCUGGAUUGUUGCCUGGCUUUGUUAAUGUCAGCGAUGACAUCAACAACGAAAAACAAUUUAAAAAAUAAAAAAAAAAUCUAUAAAAAUAAUAAAAAUUUCAAAUUUUAAAAAAAAUAAAUACUUAGUCAUAUUCUUCACUUCCUACGCCAAAACUCUAUACAAAUUUCUCUCCUUAUAUCUCAUGUGAAUAGUGGUUGCCCUUAGGUUGCUAAGGCCACCACCAACUUUUGCAAGCAUGAGCGGAACUAGGUAGAGGGCUACCAUGGACUCUAGUGCAGG